rnacentral:rRNA from 1 species
AAAGGAAUAGACGGGGGCCCGCACAAGCAGUGGAGUAUGUGGUUUAAUUCGAAGCAACGCGAAGAACCUUACCAGGUCUUGACAUCCGACUAACGAGGCAGAGAUGCGUUAGGUGCCCUUCGGGGAAAGUCGAGACAGGUGGUGCAUGGUUGUCGUCAGCUCGUGUCGUGAGAUGUUGGGUUAAGUCCCGCAACGAGCGCAACCCUUGUCCUUAGUUGCUACGCAAGAGCACUCUAAGGAGACUGCCGUUGACAAAACGGAGGAAGGUGGGGACGACGUCAAAUCAUCAUGCCCCUUAUGACCUGGGCUACACACGUACUACAAUGGCCAAGAACAGAGGGAAGCAACACCGCGAGGUGAAGCAAACCCCGAAAAAUGGUCUCAGUUCAGAUUGCAGGCUGCAACUCGCCUGUAUGAAGUCGGAAUUGCUAGUAAUCGCGGAUCAGCAUGCCGCGGUGAAUACGUUCCCGGGCCUUGUACACACCGCCCGU